AGGGUUUUCUUGGCCUGCCAGGUGCAAAAGGCACCCAAGGAGAGCAGGGCUGCCGAGGUCCCGGUGGAGCCAAGGGAGAUUUGGGAGCCAAAGGAGGCAAGGGCCCACGAGGAGCACAAGGAGCAAAAGGCCAUCCAGGAGCCCGGGGCCAGGGGGGCUUGCAGGGCUUCCCCGGCCCCCGAGGGGCUGCAGGGCCACGGGGACCAGACGUGAGUGCCACUGCUGGGCUGGAGUGUCACAGGGGGGAGCACACGUGUGACCUGUGUCACA
rnacentral:lncRNA from 1 species